rnacentral:rRNA from 1 species
AUUGAACGCUGGCGGCAGGCCUAACACAUGCAAGUCGAGCGAGCGGCGGAGGGGUGAGUAAUGUUUGGUGACUGCCCGAUAGCGGGGGAUAACUACUGGAAACGGUAUCUAAUACGGCAUAUUAUGGUAGAACCGAUAUGGGUUUAGCUAGUAGGUGAGGUAAUGGCUCACCUAGGCGACGAUCCCUAGCGGGUCUGAGAGGAUGAUCAGCCACACUGGGACUGAGACACGGCCCAGACUCCUACGGAGGCAGCAGUGGGGAAUAUUGCACAAUGGGCGCAAGCCUGAUGCAGCAAUGCCGCGUGUAUGAAGAAGGCCCUAGGGUUGUAAAGUACUUUCAGUCGGGAGGCGUUACCGACAGAAGAAGCAACGGCUAACUCCGUGCCAGCAGCCGCGGUAAUUC